GCCUUCAAGUACAGGCCGGGGUCCGGAAGCGGUGAUACCCCUUCUCUUUCCCAGUGGCCCUCAAACUUCCUUUUCCCGGGUCCUUAAGCGGGCCCCGCCGACAGAGGCCAAUCAGAGGGCAGCGCGAGGGGGCGGGGCCAUAGUUUAAACUAAUUGUGCGCUCACAGCGCUGGCGCGAGCCCACGAAGAGGUACGAUUCCGGAGAAUCGCGAGGCAGAGCGGGAGCGCGCAGCCAGGUGGAAACUAAUUCUAAGCCAGACUGCUGGAGAUCACCCUGUUCUAGUGUGUGGAGGCUUCCACCAGGAGGAAACUGCAGCUGAGGAGCCAUUGCAGUCCCAUCUCCAGAAGACCCCCAGAAAGAGUUGGAAGAGUUCUUCAGGCUGUGGCAGCCACUGCCCACCAACACACCCAAAUCAAUCAAGAUGAAUCCCAGGUGGUGAGGCUGAAGCAGAUGGUUUGGUAGCUCCAGUCUUUUUUUAGGCAGAAAUGAUGUAUUAAAUCACUACAUUGAUUUUUUUGUUGUUGUUAGCAGUUGUGGGUUUGAAAAAAGGUAGGCAGGAAGAUGGUGAAGGGGUCAAGCCUAGGGGCUGUUAUCUUGAAUAUAUGCAAAUUAAGCUGAUUAUAUUGUAGUGCCCUGUAACCUGUUCCUGGAAACAGUGGUCUUGAAAACUCAUCAGUUAAAUGAGGUGUUAGACAGCCUGGUCAAAAGAUUCUGUGACUAAGUUACUGUAUAAUCAUUUGCAAUUCUCUUUCUUACUCUAAACAUUGUUUUCCUCAUUUUUAUAUUGAAAGAGUUAAGAGAUGCUAAAAAUUCUAGAUCUGAAAAUUGGAUAAGCCUAAGAAGGUUUGAGGUAGGGAAAUGUCUAUUCUAAGCUGUUUGACUACUGGACUUGGGGUAGGAGUGGAAUUUCUUUUUUACUUCCUAAAUUAUAGUUACUUUACUCUCUACUUAUAGUCACAGCUGGGUGAUCAGACAUUAAGUAGCUAUUUAAUGAGAAGCAGGCACUGGAAGCUUGCUCCAGAAAAACAAUCACAGGACAUGUUGGUCCUGAGAGAAGUCAUUCCUUGGUAGGACCUAUUGUUUGAAGGAGGUGGGGGUGAAUUUCAUCAAAAUGGACAGUGUGGAUAUUGUGAUUCAGAGGAUUGAGAGACUUUGUUUCCUGCUGUUAUUAAUUUCAAGCCUUUUUUAAAGGGAUUCUCCUAGUGAUUGGUACAGUGGGAUUCAUUUAGAGAAAAAGCCUUGUGUACCAGUUGGAAGUUAAUGCCCAAGAGCAGGGCCAGUUGCUGGAGGACAAAGUGGCCUAAUUAGUUGCUUUUCAAUACUUAGAUCCUACAGGCUACCCCAAAGAUAAAAUAGGCUACUUUGUAGCUCAGAUCUUCCAGCCUAGUGCCUAGCAAGCUCACUAAGAAGAGGAGGUGACCUGUAGAAUCCACACCUCUUAAUCUCCCUAUUUCUCUUCUUUCCCUCAUUGCCCUUUAGUUUUAAUUAGGAUUGUGUAAACAUAGUCAUCUUGCCAGUCCUCUUAAAGUGGCAGGCCCUUGGCAUUUUCUGCUGGUCACUCAUGCUAUAUGUAUAACUUGCAAUUAGAGGGACUAGCUUUGACAAUUUGCCAUCCCUGGCUGUACCACUGAAAGAAUUCAGAUAAGGGCCAAUUGGCUGUCAUUUACUCAGGCAGCAUAUUUAGUACCUACUGUGUGCAAGCAGUGUGCUGGAGUGGAAAUGAUUUUAAAAUGGUUUCUGCCCUCCAGGAGUUUAGUAAAAUGAAACAAGUAUUACAGCUAGCAUCCACCCAGGGAGGAUUGUAAUUAAGUUUGUAGAGGAACAAGCAAUAUGGGAGCACAUAGAGGAAAGAACAAUUGUUCCUGAUGGUGGGGGCGAUAAGGAGAGUUUGGGAGAAGGCAUUUGAGCCAGGUUGUAAAGGAAGAAUAGGAGUUCAGUAGGUUUAGGAGACAGGGCAUUUAAUGGAGGUCACACCAUGGGCAAAGGCACACAGCUUGGAAAAUGCCUGGCAUGUAUGGGGAAAAUGUGCCUGAGGUAGAGGAUAUUUUAGGGAAUGAACUGAAGAUGAGGCUGGGAAGGAAAUUUGAGGGUUGGAUCUUAGAGAACCUUAAGCGUUAUGCUAAGAAAUUUGGAUUUUAUUCUUCAUGUAAUUAGCUGUUAAGUGUUUUUGAUUUACAGACUAACAUGACCCAAUCUAUGUUAUUUAGGUCCUGUCUAUUCUUUUUUUUUUUUUUUCUUGAGCAGAGUUUCGCUCUUGUUGCCCAGGCUAUAGGCGUGAUCUCGGCUCACCGCAACCCCCGCCUCCUGGGUUCAAGCGAUUCUCCUGCCUCAGCCUCCCGAGUAGCUGGGAAUACAGGCAUGUGCCACCACGCCCGGCUAAUUUUUGUAUUUUUAGUAGAGAUGGGGUUUCUCCAUGUUGGUCAGGCUGGUCUCAAACUCCUGACCUCAGGUAAUCCGCCCACCUCGGCCUCCCAAAGUGCUGGGAUUACAGGCAUGAGCCACCACGCCCGGCCCGGUCUUGUCUAUUCUUAAGUGUAAAGUCUUAGAGGUUAGGUUGAGAGAAGGUGGUGGUCCUGGUUCUUACAGUACAGUAUUAAGUUUGUCAGGCAUCUCAUGUUUGAGAACUUGAUUCCUCAGUUAUAUUUACUAAAACAACUCCAAAAGCAAGAAGGCAGGAAGUGGUCAGAGCUGUGUCCCUUUAAACUGAGCUCACUGACCCACCAAAGAUGAUUUUCUUAGGCAUAUACAUUAUGAACAGUCUUCUUGCUAGUGGGUUGCUUACUACUGAUAAUCCUUUGUGGAUAAAAUUUCACACAAGGAGCAGGCUUUUCAUUAUAGGGCAGAAACCAAAAACAUUUUUUAAGCCUGAUUGAAAAAUAGUAUAUAUUCAUUCUAGGAUAUGUGAAAAACGCAGAGAAGUAUAAGGAAGAAAACUGAAAUCACCCGUAAUCCCACUAUCUGGAGAAAACUACUGUUCUUAUUUUAGCCUAUUUUCUUUCAGUAUUUUGUGCUUGUAUAUUUCUGGUUUUGCAAUUUCCAGAUCAUAUAUUACCUAAAAUUUUAUAUUCUGCUUUUUUCCCCAUUUACCAUUUUUUCAUUAUAUAAAUUUAUAUAUACUCUUCAUAAAUAUUUGUAGUGGCUGCAUAAUAGUCUAUCAUAUAGGAUUUUUAUAUGCUUUCAGGUUUUUUCAAAUAAUAAUGGAAUUUUUUUCAAAUCAUUUUUGUAAUAGAUAUAACAAAUAAGUCCCCAAAUAAGUCUUUACCCUAAUUCUGCCCUGCAGAAGUAACCAUUAUUUAUUAAUAGUUUUCUGUGUAUCUUUAUAUGAACAUUAUUAUGCA
rnacentral:lncRNA from 1 species